UGUAUCUUGUGUGGAAAGCGUGUAGAUGAUAAGAAUGUACAGCUCUUGUCCCACUUUAUUUCUCCAUUUACUGGAGGCAUUUAUGGAAGGUACAUUAUAGGUCUUUGUGGGAAGAAACAGAAAGAAAUCACAGAAGCAAUUAAGAGAGCUCAAAUAAUGGGAUUUAUGCCAGUUACAUACAAGGAUCUGCAUAUCUCAAGGACCCUAAAGUUUGUAAUAUCAG
rnacentral:lncRNA from 1 species